rnacentral:rRNA from 1 species
AUUGAACGCUGGCGGCAUGCUUUACACAUGCAAGUCGAACGGGGGUAGCGAUACUCUAGUGGCGGACGGGUGAGUAAUGCGUAGGAAUCUGCCCUGCAGUGGGGGACAACUUGGGGAAACCCAAGCUAAUACCGCAUACGCUCGGAAGAGGAAAGCGGGGGAUCGCAAGACCUCGCGCUGUGGGAUGAGCCUACGUCCGAUUAGCUAGUUGGUGGGGUAAAGGCCUACCAAGGCGAUGAUCGGUAGCUGGUCUGAGAGGACGACCAGCCACACUGGGACUGAGACACGGCCCAGACUCCUACGGGAGGCAGCAGUGGGGAAUAUUGGACAAUGGGCGCAAGCCUGAUCCAGCAAUGCCGCGUGGGUGAAGACGGCCUGCGGGUUGUAAAGCCCUUUAGGCGGGGAGGAACGGCGUCGUGUAAACAAUGCGGCGUUCUGACGUUACCCGCGGAAUAAGCACCGGCUAACUCCGUG